rnacentral:rRNA from 1 species
UACAGAGGUCUCAAGCGUUGUUCGGAUUCAUUGGGCGUAAAGGGUGCGUAGGCGGCGCGGUAAGUCGGGUGUGAAAUCUCGGAGCUUAACUCCGAAACUGCAUUCGAUACUGCGGUGCUCGAGGACUGGAGAGGAGACUGGAAUUCAUGGUGUAGCAGUGAAAUGCGUAGAGAUCAUGAGGAAGACCAGUGGCGAAGGCGGGUCUCUGGACAGCUCCUGACACUGAGGCACGAAGGCCAGGGGAGCAAACGGG